rnacentral:rRNA from 1 species
GCUUAACACAUGCAAGUCGAACGCCCCGCAAGGGGAGUGGCAGACGGGUGAGUAACACGUGGGAACCUACCCAGGGGUACGGAGUAACUCGGGGAAACUCGUGCUAAUACCGUAUACGACCUAAGGGUGAAAGAUUUAUCGCCCCUGGAUGGGCCCGCGUUGGAUUAGCUAGUUGGUGGGGUAAAGGCCUACCAAGGCUACGAUCCAUAGCUGGUCUGAGAGGAUGAUCAGCCACACUGGGACUGAGACACGGCCCAGACUCCUACGGGAGGCAGCAGUGGGGAAUCUUGGACAAUGGGCGCAAGCCUGAUCCAGCCAUGCCGCGUGUGUGAUGAAGGCCUUAGGGUUGUAAAGCACUUUCGCCAGGGAAGAUAAUGACGGUACCUGGAUAAGAAGCCCCGGCUAACUCCGUGCCAGCAGCCGCGGUAAUAC